rnacentral:misc_RNA from 1 species
UUGAAUAGUAUUGAGCGCUGUGCUGGCCUUUCGGGGUAUUGUGCACGCGUUUGAAACCAUUUUAUCUUUUGUGCACCUAGUGUGGGCUUUUGAGGUUGAGAAGCAGUCUUUUUUAGACUGUGGAUUGGCUUCAGAAGACCAUUUUUUUAUAUCCUUUUAAACAAGUUAAUAGAAAGUCUCUUUACUUGACGCAAGUCAGUAAAUAAAACAAAUA